UAUCACACGUGUGUGAACAUCACAUUAUUGACCUCGUAAUUACAACUACACCCGUCACGUCAUUUCACGGACUAUAUUAUUAGGGGAAUGACUGAAGGGUUUCACACCGGGUUGGUCCAUUUACCCUCCGGUACACUGGAAUGCGACAACCUACAAUCCACGUUAGACGAUCCACAGUUGGUAAACACUCUUAUCUCGACCGAGGUGAAACAAGGGUUUCUGUUGGGGCCAUUCUUUUCCCCACCCUUCACAUCUUGGAGAACCAAUCCCAUUGGGGUGGUCACAGGGAAGACCUCACUCAAACCCAGACUGAUAAUUGAUUUAUGUGCACCACAUUCCUCCACUGUCCCCAGCCUUAACUCUCUAAUACCUUGUAGUGAAGAAUUUUCACUACACUACGCCACUAUCGACCAGGCCAUAGGGGCCAUUCUUCAAGCUGGCACAGG